UCCCUGCUGGCUCAAGCGGUAAAGAAUCUGCCUGCAAUGCAGGAGACCCAGGUUCGAUCCCUGGGUUGGCAA
rnacentral:tRNA from 1 species